rnacentral:rRNA from 1 species
UACGUAGGGUGCAAGCGUUGUCCGGAAUUAUUGGGCGUAAAGAGCUCGUAGGCGGUUUGUCGCGUCUGCUGUGAAAACUCGGGGCUUAACCCCGGGCCUGCAGUGGGUACGGGCAGACUAGAGUGCAGUAGGGGAGACUGGAAUUCCUGGUGUAGCGGUGAAAUGCGCAGAUAUCAGGAGGAACACCGGUGGCGAAGGCGGGUCUCUGGGCCGUAACUGACGCUGAGGAGCGAAAGCGUGGGGAGCGAACAGG